GCAUGUACCUGUGCUUCAGUAGGACUGGAGGUUAGAUGGGGAAGGUGUUGGCAGAAGAGGCUGGGUCAAGAAUAACAGCUAGAUUGUACUGAGCACCAGCUGUGUCCCGAGGUCUUGGAAAUUCUGAUAUGCAUUAACUCAUUUAAUCCAUAACUGUAUGAAAUAGGUACCUCGUUAUUCUACUUUUAUUGUGGGUGCUGUAAAGCAGGCAUAAUGAUAGUUACUUCAUAAAGUUGCUAUAAGGAGUAAAUGGAUCGAUAUGAUUAUGUGCAAAGCACUUGGAACGCUGCCCAGUUCUUCAUAUCAUCAUAUCCAUUUUACAGAUGGGGAAAAUAAGGCCCAGUUAACAAGGAGGCAAUCGUAAGCAGGCUGGUUCCAGAGUGUGGACUUACCCAGUUACCAGAACUCCCUGAUCCCUGCACCUAAUGAACUCAGAGCCUUCCUUCCAGACCUACCUUGGCGGUUGCAUCCUCUGUGACGCCUGUGGGGUGGCACAUGCCUCCCUCCCGUGUCCCCCCCACUCACCCGUCACGUGUCCCCUCUAGUCUGGGUCUGCGGCAUCUGCAUCAACCACUGAGGGACUGAGACUCGGCAGCAGCAAGCCCUCAUCCCAGGUACUUGGGGGUCACACAGCACCUUCACCUGAGGUUCCACCUGAGGCUGAGGCGUGUUACCCCAGGUCUGCUGUAAGGAUUAAAAGAGCUAAAAUCUGUGCAGAACAGAGUGAGUGCCUGGUCGCCACACAGGCUGCAGCCCCAGCCAUGCCAUGGACUUGUCCUCCCAGAGUCCCUGCCACUUCCAAAUUCCCAAACAGUGGACAUUCCUCUUGCUCUUCCUCCCCCUCCUUUCAGUCCCCUCCCGUGAACUCCACCCUCAGUCCCCUUCGCCCCUCAUUUCCUCCACCUUCCGUGAACUCAUCCACUCCCAGAACUCCACCUGCCCUGCCCGCACCUGUCUCCUGGGUCCCCUGGAGACCUCCACCUGGACAUCACUCAAGCAGCUCAAACCCAGUUUGUCGCGAACCCAAGGUCCUCAUCCUGCCACACCUGCCCCUAUAUCUGUAAAGGACUCACACCCUUGCCAUUGCCCAGCCCAGAGACCCAGGUGCCAUCCCCACUCCACCCCCUUGCUCACCGUCCACUGUGACCGCGUCUGUGGCCCCAGGUCUGGCUGCCCCACUCUCUCAGGGCCAGUGCCUCGGCCCACGCUCUUCUCCUUUCGCCGUUUCUCCUAACUGGCCUCUUGCUCUCUGCCUCCACAGUCUGCAGGGCCCACUGCUUGCAAGAUUCCUCCUCCCAUUGCCCUCAGCAUCCAGUCUCAAAUCCUGGGUGUAACUGACGGGGCCCUGCCUUCCUGGGACAGCCCCAGGCACACAGAAGUACUUCAGUUGAAGCCCUUGACACAGCCAGGAGGUUGGGAGUGGGUCCACCUUGCCAGGGCCUCUAAAAGGAGUGAUGCCAGGCACUGGGGCGACCAGAGGAACAGCUAAGGCUGGGGAGUAGACUGGCUCAGCAAACAGGCUCUGCAAACAGGCACACCUGGGUCUGGGUUCUGGCUCUGCACUUGCCCACUCUGUGACUUUGGCUUUGUUACCUACUCUGGCUCUCAUGUCCCAGAUGGGUUUAAUAUCGUGUCUUUGAAGGGCUAGAGGAGAACUUAGGGCCCAGGGCCAAGGAUGGGCAGAGGCUGCCUCGCCUCCCAGGUACUCCUCAGAGCCUAAGCUUCUAAAUCACCUGGGGGCUGGGCAGGGCCUGGGAGGGCAGAGCCAGUCGGGAGGCCUGGGGGAGGAGCAAAGGGGCAGGGGAGAGGAGGGGGGAGGGGAGGCUGACAAAAGAGACCAGCUGCUGUUUGCACACAAACCCCAAGUUGAUAAUGAGUGGAGGGGCGGGGGAGGGGCGGGGAAAUGUCUUGGCAGGAGCCCCUGCCAGCUGAGGAGUCUGCCCAGCACCAUCGUGCCCCUCCCUCCACCGCCCCCCACUCUGGGCCCUCGCUCCUCGCACCCAGCUGUACAUCUGCUCCUAGGACUGCAGCAGGGGAGGGAGGAAGGGCCCAAUGUCGGUGAUCUGGGCCCCUCAGCCCAAGGCUCAAAUCCUCCCCGUCAGGCCACACACAUCCUGAGAGCAACCCUGGGGAAGCCCACAGGAAGGGCUGGAGCUCAGGGGAGCCCAAGGGUGCCCAAGGACUCAGAGCGGGCCCAGACCCCCAGUCUCUGAGCUCCUGGUCAGAAUGAAGGCCCUUAGAGGAGCUCUGAGAGCCUGGAGCUUGGAGAGGAGAGGAGGCUCCCAGCCGUGAGACCUGGAAGAGUUCUCUGGCCCUGGGGCCUCCCCACAGGGGCAAAUGGUAGACCAGGGCUGGGGGGAAGGCUGGGAGGCUCCUGGCAGCUCCUUGGCCCCCAGUAAUGCCAGGAGGGCCCCUGGGUGGCCCAUCAGACAGGGUGCAGAUAAACAAGGCCCGAGGAAGA